CCUACGGUAGGCUGCAGUGAGGAAUAUUGGUCAAUGGCCGUAAGGCUGAACCAGCCAAGUCGCGUGAAGGAAGAAGGAUCUAUGGUUUGUAAACUUCUUUUAUAGGGUAAUAAAGGUAUCCACGUGUGGAUAUUUGCAUGUACCCUAUGAAUAAGCAUCGGCUAACUCCGUGCCAGCAGCCGCGGUAAUACGGAGUAUGCGAGCGUUAUCCGGAUUUAUUGGGUUUAAAGGGUGCGUAGGUUGUUUUUUAAGUCAGCGGUGAAAGGUUGUGGCUCAACCAUAAAAUUGCCGUUGAAACUGGAAGACUUGAGUGUGUUUGAGGUAGGCGGAAUGCGUGGUGUAGCGGUGAAAUGCAUAGAUAUCACGCAGAACUCCGAUUGCGAAGGCAGCUUACUAAGCCAUAACUGACACUGAAGCACGAAAGCGUGGGGAUCAAACAGGAUUAGAUACCCGUGUAGUC
rnacentral:rRNA from 1 species